CACGGAGAAAUGUUGCAAACCGGCGGGACCUUACAGACGAAAGCAGGGGCUGAACGGUGGUUUCAGUGUGAGCUACCGAUCUGCAAACGUGGCAGACCAAAGGGAGUCAUAAACCAAGGCAACAUUAAAAUACAUGGAUGGGUACAUUGUACCGUCAGAGAGGUCAGUACAAGGAGAUGAGGGAGCUGUUCUAUUACAGUGCCAGGGAAGUUUCUCUGUCCGUGGUCCCUGGCCCCGUGACUCUGAGGAGGAGCAGCGGGUCCACUCUAAUCCUGGCGGAGUUAGAAGCGAGCAAUUCCUUAAGCGUACAGCAGCCCUUUCUGAUUUACACAGCAUGAGCAUGAGGCUUCGCUGCGAAGACAGCUAAAACAGAGGCGUGCAGAUCACUGACUCGGUGUGAGAGGAACCGAGGCUUUCAUUGAUUGAAAUCAGACGGCCUUACAGAGUCUGUGAGCACAGAGCUGAACCGAGACAUUGCCUGAACCCCCGGACUGUCUCAUGAAGCUCACGGGGCCUCAACAAGUCCCCUCCCCACACGUGUCGGGCUUACUGUGUUUUCCAUGACAGUGCUUGACCCUGCUGCCUGUGCCCUGGACUACCUGCCACCUGACCCUACCUGCCCUUGGGCAGAGUCAACCAACCACACAGACUCCCAGAGCAGAUGAGAAACACAGCAGCAAGCUUCUCAGAACACUGCUGCAAGCUUCUUUAAUACGCUUCGCCCGCGCCUCAUUGGUCCCAUGAAAGCAUUGUUUCUAAACAGCAGUUCCCAAUUGGCUGGCAUUGUCUGCACCAGCAAUUCUUAGUCUCUCAGGCAGUCCUCAAUUAGGUCCUCCCGCAGGAGAUGCUUUUGCAGCUAUGCCGCCCCCUGGCGUUUACAUAGAGGUGGCCACACGGUUCCUGUUACAUGACCCAACUUCUCUGAACUGGACUCCACUCCCCCACCACUCUGACUUCUCUGGUUUGCCUCACAGAGAGCAAGAACCAUCCCUUUGUGGGAAAGGCAUCUCAAUAAAGAGGCGAUCCCCAAAUGACUCAUAUGUUUAGUCUCCCCAGUACCCAAAGGUAGUCAGUGUCUCUGGCAUGUAAUAAGGCUGUCGUGUCGGUGUUUAGCGGUUCCCCAGGGAAGGUCAAAGCCCUUAGGAUCCCGGCCCUCCAUGAUUAGUAUCCCCAUGUGUAAACUACUGUGAGCAUCUAAAGUUGAGACAAAGUAGCCUGCGCAUGGUAAUCACCCGUUGUUACAUCCAAACUCCGACGGAGGAAGAGCAGUUGCAUUUAGCAAUGAGCAAAGUACCUUUUAGUGCCUCAUCUUAAACACUCAGGCUGUCACUGCAACCACUAAUUUGCCCCACCGCCCCCACGGCCCCCUGGCACUGCUUCAAGUGGACUCUGUACAGAUGUUUCGGGAAGACGUUUUCCCUGCCCCUCUUGACUGUCAGAGGUUUAUAUUAUUAAAGCAGCAGCUUCCAAGUAAAUAACUGAGCUGUGAAUUACCCAGAGUUGAGUGAGAGGAGGUUCCUAAGCCCUAUGGGAUCUACCUUUGAGCCUUGGUUCCCAUACUACACAGCAGAGCCCAGCCCACCCAAGUCUCUCUCUACUGUCUCUACAGCUUAAAACUACAUUUGUGUAUCGACUCACUUAAAGACAGCCCCUUAGAACCAAGGCUAGAAACGGCACGGUUUCCAAGCUACUACUGUACCUUUGUCUUCACAGAAGAACUGCGCUGUUAAGGCCUACACACACAGUCAACCUCUGUGCCUAUGGCAGCAAAUUGUCCCCCAGGCUCAGUUAUAUUAGAGGGACAGUAAGAAAGUACUCAUGAAGCUGUCCAUCAACUGUGCCUCCUCACCAGCACAGCCUGAUGAAGCAGGAAGGAGGAGAGGGCACAGAAAGAGAGAGGACAUGGGGUAACCAGCUUCGGCAGCCAAAAGUUCAAAAGGUAAAAAAAGGAGGCGUAUAACCAAAAUGGCUGUGUUUUUAGGGAAGAGCCUCUGGGGGAAGGGAGAUAGCAGGUGAGCGGAACCAGGUAUGCCGGCCACACCCUAUAACAGGUAGGAACUGAGGGAUGCUGGGAGAACCUGGAGGCCAGGUCCUCUUCCAUAGGUUAGAUAGGUACCUCUGCCAUCUUCUCCAGGGUUUGAAACUUAGCAAUUACCUAAUUAUUGAUGUGUUUACACAUGCCAAUUGAUAGAGCAAGAGUGUGUCAGGGAUUCUUUUUUUUUUUUCUUUAACCACAGAAAAAUAGAUUAUCGUGGUUUAAAUUAAGUCAUUAAGGUUUCAUUUGUUUUCCGGACCCGUAUCUCACUACACAGCCCUGGUUGAACUCUGGCUACUCAAGUCUCAGCUACGUACCACCACAGCCAACUAAGGCUUUAAUCUCCUUAGGAAGUUAAUAUUCACUCUCCCUCAGCUGAAUAGAGUUGCAGAUGAUAGGAAGCAGAAGUCCUCACAGCGAAUAUUAUUGUAUCUUACCAAGUGACCACUGCUAACCCAGGCCAAGGCGUGACCAAUGGAGUGGAUGUUCAUAAUUAUUGGGGGGGGAGGUUUGCUUUUUUUUAUAAAGGUCAUUUAUUCAAAAUGAAAACGCCAGGUAGGAUAAAUCAUACCUGUAACCCCAGCAGUGGACGAGGCAGUGAAGGCAGGAAGAUCUGGAGUUCAAGGCUACCACUCACAUUACAUGAAUCCCUGUUUCAAGAAACAAUAUCUACUCUGUAUGCAGAAAUAUG
rnacentral:sRNA from 1 species